GAGACCCAGGCCACUCGACCUCAGUCGACGUAAUUUCAAUUUUUUUCUUACGACGGCAGUUUCUCUCCUGCAGAUAACCGAGCCCACCUUCCCGUAAAAAAGAAGCCCACCUUUCUCAGAUUGUGCGUGCGGUUCGGGUGGAGCAGGGGUGUCGUGGCUGGCGAGUGGCGCGGGCGCGGCUGGAAUUGCGGCUAACCUAGGCGGCGCCGCGCCGGCAGCUUCAACGACGACGACGACUGGGCCUGAGGCCGGCGGCGAGUGGCGUGGGCACGGCUUGCGCCGAACGUAGGCGGCGCCGGCGACUUCGAUGACGACGACUGGGGCCUGAGCGAGGAGCAGCUCGACAAGCUCGUGCGGGACACCUACCGCGAGCUCGCCGAGGCCGAGGCAGCGCACACGACGCAUACGUCUCCGACACCUCCUCGCCGACGCCGCGCUGGAGGCAAUCGAAAUCCGCUCCCAGGCCAGCACGCACCCGUGGCUUGGCGUCGUCGACCACGUGACGUCUGCUCCCACCCCCUCGCCAGCAGCUCCUCCCUUGGCCGCGUUUUUGACCUCGCUGCCACCGUGGCCACCGACAUCGGCCAAACCCGUGGAUUUCUUCUUUCUCAUUUUCCCCCAAUUUUUCCAAACGAGGUCGCCGCCUUGCUAUGCCUGUACUUGCCGCCUGUCGCCGCAGACGCCACCCGGCGUAGUUGAUUGCAUCAGCCAUGAGAAAUAUCACAUUGGAUCAAGUUGACUUGCACCUGUUUGAUGGAAUGCUCGUGAGAGUGUUUUUUAUUUUCUGGGUACACUGCAGGUUUGUUCUUUACAUCCUUCUCUGCAAGCUUGAAACUCUGACCAAUGUUACAAGAUUUUAUUUUCUAUGGAAGUAUUUUAUUGAAACACUGAUCAGGUUGGUUCAGCAUUGGACGUUGGCAGCGCAUUGGAUUCGUUGGUGGCCGUCCUUUCAGACCGAGAACAUGCUCGGCGACCUCGUCCCCUUCAGCAACAAGGUCCAGCGACCGGGAGGUUCUGCAAGCUUGAUCUGAAUCCCUUUGUCACGCAGGUGUACAACGGCAGCCUCGACCGGCAGUUGGGGAUCACGGCGAGGUCCCCUUCACUUGCAGCAGCAAGGAGAAUUGCAUCACGCUGCUGCCUAAAUUAUUGCUGCGCUGCAAUUUGUACAAAUUUGUCCGACCUGUGCAAGGAGAAGUUCUGCAAAUCGCCACCUCGUAAUGCCCCAAAAGGUCCAUCACUCUGACUCCAUGAUUUGCUGUGUUUCCCGUCGGCAGUAGCUUGUGUUUGCCGGAGCAAUGCUUGGUUACUACCAGUUUCAGUGUAGAUUUAUUUUGAUUGCAAUGAGGUGGACAACUAACACUCUUCCUGGAUGUUGCUGAUUUUAUGGUUAAACCAACUAGUGAAGAAAAAAUAUUUUUUGUAUGAAAUCCCAUAGCUUGUUUGCUUCUCCAGUCAUAUGUACUUGUUUAUAUCAAUUGGUUAAUAUAGUUGAAAGAAUUUUACUGUA